UGCCAGCCGCCGCGGUAAUACGGAGGGUGCAAGCGUUGUCCGGAUUUACUGGGUGUAAAGGGUGUGUAGGUGGGGCGGUAAGUCAGAGGUGAAAGCCCACGGCCCAACCGUGGAAUUGCCUUUGAUACUGCCGUUCUUGAGUCUCGGAGAGGUCGCUGGAAUUCGUGGUGUAGCGGUGAAAUGCGUAGAUAUCACGAGGAACACCAGAGGCGUAGGCGGGCGACUGGACGAGUACUGACGCUGAGGCACGAAAGCGUGGGGAGCAAACAGGAUUAGAUA
rnacentral:rRNA from 1 species